UACGUAGGGGGCAAGCGUUGUCCGGAAUCAUUGGGCGUAAAGCGCGUGUAGGCGGCUGGGUAAGUCCGCUCUGAAAGCCCGGGGCUCAACCCCGGGAGGCGGGUGGAUACUGUCGGGCUAGAGUCCGGAAGAGGCGAGUGGAAUUCCUGGUGUAGCGGUGGAAUGCGCAGAUAUCAGGAGGAACACCGAUGGCGAAGGCAGCUCGCUGGGACGGUACUGACGCUGAGGCGCGAAAGCGUGGGGAGCGAACAGG
rnacentral:rRNA from 1 species